AAUGAUGAGUGAUGCAAGUGACAUAUUGGCUGCGACGUUGGAGCAGAUGGAUGGUAUCAUAGCAGGGUUCUAAGGCCCUGGAAUAUUCCAGUGGGAUUUUUGGUUGCCAAUCUCCCACCUCUCCAUCCAUGGGAAGUUUGUGAGCCCUGCACCUUGUGGAAGACCUGCGUGGAUUAUUAGAGAUGAUGGAAACAGAUGAGAAAGAAGACUUGAGCUGCCAGUUCCCAGAUUCAACAGUAGAAAUGCUAAUUGAAUGGUUUCAAAGUCAAAUGGACAAAUGGACACCUACCUGGGAACGGAGAUGUGUAUCAAGAAAGGCUGUCACUUUUAGAAAAUGAUAAAGAAUCCCUCCUUCUUCAGGCUAAGCAUGUUAACAGACCAGGUGGAGGAUGAGGGAGAGAAGAUUAGAGAUUUGGAGUUUUGUCUUGAAGAGCACAGAGAGAAGGUGAAUGCCACAGAAGAAAUGCUGCAGCAGGGAGCUUCUAAGUAGGGCAUCCUUAGAAACUCAGAAGUUGGAUCUGAUGGCUGAAAUAUCUAACUUGAAGUUGAAACUGACAGCUGUAGAGAAGGACAGAUUGGAUUAUGAAGAUAAGUUCAGAGACACAGAGGGGGCUGAUUCAGGAGAUCAAUGAUUUGAGGUUAAAAGUUAGUGAAAUGGGCAGUGAGAGACUUCAGUAUGAAAAAAAGCAUGAAUCAACCAAAGGAUGAACUGACAUCUUUAAAAGAACAACUAGAAGAAAAGGAAUCUGAAGUAAAAAGGCUACAAGAAAAAUUGAUUUGCAAGAUGAAAGGAGAAGGGGUUGAAAUUGUUGAUAGAG
rnacentral:lncRNA from 1 species